UACGUAGGGUGCAAGCGUUGUCCGGAAUUAUUGGGCGUAAAGAGCUCGUAGGCGGUUUGUUGCGUCGGCUGUGAAAUCCCCAGGCUUAACCUGGGAACUGCAUCCGAUACUGGAUGGCUUGAAUCCGGGAGAGGGAUGCAGAAUUCCAGGUGUAGCGGUGAAAUGCGUAGAUAUCUGGAGGAAUACCGGUGGCGAAGGCGGCAUCCUGGACCGGCAUUGACGCUGAGGAGCGAAAGCUAGGGGAGCAAACGGG
rnacentral:rRNA from 1 species